rnacentral:rRNA from 1 species
UACAGAGGGUGCAAGCGUUGUUCGGAAUUAUUGGGCGUAAAGGGCGCGUAGGCGGCGCGACAAGUCACCUGUGAAAUCUCCGAGCUUAACUCGGAGCCUGCAGGCGAAACUGUCGUGCUGGAGUAUGGGAGAGGAGACUGGAAUUUACGGUGUAGCGGUGAAAUGCGUAGAUAUCGUAAGGAAGACCAGUGGCGAAGGCGGGUCUCUGGACAGUUCCUGACGCUGAGGCACGAAGGCCAGGGGAGCAAACGGG